GCCCAUAGCUCCUUCGACGGCGCCGCCUAGGAACGCGGAGAAAAUAUGACAAAGGAACGGCCAAAAAUAAAAAGAAAGACCUUUCUUUUGAAAAAACAAACAAAUAAAAGGAAUGCAACACAAGGACUUCCCAGGAGGUCACCCAUCCUAGUACUACUCUCGCCCAAGCACGCUUAACUUCGGAGUUCUGAUGGGAUCCGGUGCUUUAGUGCUGGUAUGAUCGCAUCCGACAUACCGUGCGUUCUCCUCCCCUUUAUGCCCGCGCCUCCGUGUACGGCCCGCCCAUAGCUCCUUCGACGGCGCCGCCUAGGAACGCGGAGAAAAUAUGACAAAGGAACGGCCAAAAAUAAAAAGAAAGACCUUUCUUUUGAAAAAACAAACGCCUCCGUGUACGGCCCGCCCAUAGCUCCUUCGACGGCGCCGCCUAGGAACGCGGAGAAAAUAUGACAAAGGAACGGCCAAAAAUAAAAAGAAAGACCUUUCUUUUGAAAAAACAAACAAAAAAAAGGAAUGCAACACGAGGACUUCCCAGGAGGUCACCCAUCCUAGUACUACUCUCGCCCAAGCACGCUUAACUUCGGAGUUCUGAUGGGAUCCGGUGCUUUAGUGCUGGUAUGAUCGCAUCCGACAUACCGUGCGUUCUCCUCCCCUUUAUGCCCGCGCCUCCGUGUACGGCCCGCCCAUAGCUCCUUCGACGGCGCCGCCUAGGAACGCGGAGAAAAUAUGACAAAGGAACGGCCAAAAAUAAAAAGAAAGACCUUUCUUUUGAAAAAACAAACGCCUCCGUGUACGGCCCGCCCAUAGCUCCUUCGACGGCGCCGCCUAGGAACGCGGAGAAAAUAUGACAAAGGAACGGCCAAAAAUAAAAAGAAAGACCUUUCUUUUGAAAAAACAAACAAAAAAAAGGAAUGCAACACGAGGACUUCCCAGGAGGUCACCCAUCCUAGUACUACUCUCGCCCAAGCACGCUUAACUUCGGAGUUCUGAUGGGAUCCGGUGCUUUAGUGCUGGUAUGAUCGCAUCCGACAUACCGUGCGUUCUCCUCCCCUUUAUGCCCGCGCCUCCGUGUACGGCCCGCCCAUAGCUCCUUCGACGGCGCCGCCUAGGAACGCGGAGAAAAUAUGACAAAGGAACGGCCAAAAAUAAAAAGAAAGACCUUUCUUUUGAAAAAACAAACAAAUAAAAGGAAUGCAACACGAGGACUUCCCAGGAGGUCACCCAUCCUAGUACUACUCUCGCCCAAGCACGCUUAACUUCGGAGUUCUGAUGGGAUCCGGUGCUUUAGUGCUGGUAUGAUCGCAUCCGACAUACCGUGCGUUCUCCUCCCCUUUAUGCCCGCGCCUCCGUGUACGGCCCGCCCAUAGCUCCUUCGACGGCGCCGCCUAGGAACGCGGAGAAAAUAUGACAAAGGAACGGCCAAAAAUAAAAAGAAAGACCUUUCUUUUGAAAAAACAAACAAAAAAAAAGGAAUGCAACACGAGGACUUCCCAGGAGGUCACCCAUCCUAGUACUACUCUCGCCCAAGCACGCUUAACUUCGGAGUUCUGAUGGGAUCCGGUGCUUUAGUGCUGGUAUGAUCGCAUCCGACAUACCGUGCGUUCUCCUCCCCUUUAUGCCCGCGCCUCCGUGUACGGCCCGCCCAUAGCUCCUUCGACGGCGCCGCCUAGGAACGCGGAGAAAAUAUGACAAAGGAACGGCCAAAAAUAAAAAGAAAGACCUUUCUUUUGAAAAAACAAACAAAAAAAAGGAAUGCAACACGAGGACUUCCCAGGAGGUCACCCAUCCUAGUACUACUCUCGCCCAAGCACGCUUAACUUCGGAGUUCUGAUGGGAUCCGGUGCUUUAGUGCUGGUAUGAUCGCAUCCGACAUACCGUGCGUUCUCCUCCCCUUUAUGCCCGCGCCUCCGUGUACGGCCCGCCCAUAGCUCCUUCGACGGCGCCGCCUAGGAACGCGGAGAAAAUAUGACAAAGGAACGGCCAAAAAUAAAAAGAAAGACCUUUCUUUUGAAAAAACAAACAAAAAAAAGGAAUGCAACACGAGGACUUCCCAGGAGGUCACCCAUCCUAGUACUACUCUCGCCCAAGCACGCUUAACUUCGGAGUUCUGAUGGGAUCCGGUGCUCUAGUGCUGGUAUGAUCGCAUCCGACAUACCGUGCGUUCUCCUCCCCUUUAUGCCCGCGCCUCCGUGUACGGCCCGCCCAUAGCUCCUUCGACGGCGCCGCCUAGGAACGCGGAGAAAAUAUGACAAAGGAACGGCCAAAAAUAAAAAGAAAGACCUUUCUUUUGAAAAAACAAACAAAAAAAAAGGAAUGCAACACGAGGACUUCCCAGGAGGUCACCCAUCCUAGUACUACUCUCGCCCAAGCACGCUUAACUUCGGAGUUCUGAUGGGAUCCGGUGCUUUAGUGCUGGUAUGAUCGCAUCCGACAUACCGUGCGUUCUCCUCCCCUUUAUGCCCGCGCCUCCGUGUACGGCCCGCCCAUAGCUCCUUCGACGGCGCCGCCUAGGAACGCGGAGAAAAUAUGACAAAGGAACGGCCAAAAAUAAAAAGAAAGACCUUUCUUUUGAAAAAACAAACAAAUAAAAGGAAUGCAACACGAGGACUUCCUAGGAGGUCACCCAUCCUAGUACUACUCUCGCCCAAGCACGCUUAACUUCGGAGUUCUAAUGGGAUCCGGUGCUUUAGUGCUGGUAUGAUCGCAUCCGACAUACCGUGCGUUCUCCUCCCCUUUAUGCCCGCGCCUCCGUGUACGGCCCGCCCAUAGCUCCUUCGACGGCGCCGCCUAGGAACGCGGAGAAAAUAUGACAAAGGAACGGCCAAAAAUAAAAAGAAAGACCUUUCUUUUGAAAAAACAAACAAAAAAAAGGAAUGCAACACGAGGACUUCCCAGGAGGUCACCCAUCCUAGUACUACUCUCGCCCAAGCACGCUUAACUUCGGAGUUCUGAUGGGAUCCGGUGCUUUAGUGCUGGUAUGAUCGCAUCCGACAUACCGUGCGUUCUCCUCCCCUUUAUGCCCGCGCCUCCGUGUACGGCCCGCCCAUAGCUCCUUCGACGGCGCCGCCUAGGAACGCGGAGAAAAUAUGACAAAGGAACGGCCAAAAAUAAAAAGAAAGACCUUUCUUUUGAAAAAACAAACAAAAAAAAGGAAUGCAACACGAGGACUUCCCAGGAGGUCACCCAUCCUAGUACUACUCUCGCCCAAGCACGCUUAACUUCGGAGUUCUGAUGGGAUCCGGUGCUUUAGUGCUGGUAUGAUCGCAUCCGACAUACCGUGCGUUCUCCUCCCCUUUAUGCCCGCGCCUCCGUGUACGGCCCGCCCAUAGCUCCUUCGACGGCGCCGCCUAGGAACGCGGAGAAAAUAUGACAAAGGAACGGCCAAAAAUAAAAAGAAAGACCUUUCUUUUGAAAAAACAAACAAAAAAAAGGAAUGCAACACGAGGACUUCCCAGGAGGUCACCCAUCCUAGUACUACUCUCGCCCAAGCACGCUUAACUUCGGAGUUCUGAUGGGAUCCGGUGCUUUAGUGCUGGUAUGAUCGAAUCCGACAUACCGUGCGUUCUCCUCCCCUUUAUGCCCGCGCCUCCGUGUACGGUCCGCCCAUAGCUCCUUCGACGGCGCCGCCUAGGAACGCGGAGAAAAUAUGACAAAGGAACGGCCAAAAAUAAAAAGAAAGACCUUUCUUUUGAAAAAACAAACAAAUAAAAGGAAUGCAACACG
rnacentral:lncRNA from 1 species